UACGGAGGAUGCAAGCGUUAUCCGGAAUGAUUGGGCGUAAAGGGUCCGCAGGUGGCAGUGUAAGUCUGCUGUCAAAGAAUGAGGCUUAACCUCAUCAAGGUAGUGGAAACUACACAGCUAGAGUACGGUCGGGGUAGAAGGAAUUCCUGGUGUAGCGGUGAAAUGCGUAGAGAUCAGGAAGAACACCGGUGGCGAAAGCGUUCUGCUAGACCUGUACUGACACUGAGGGACGAAAGCUAGGGGAGCGAAUGGG
rnacentral:rRNA from 1 species